UAUGUAGGUGGCGAGCGUUAUCCGGAAUGAUUGGGUUUAAAGGGUGCGUAGGCGGACUGUCAAGUCAGCGGUAAAAUUGAGAGGCUCAACCUCUUCCCGCCGUUGAAACUGGUGGUCUUGAGUGGAUGAGAAGUACGCGGAAUGCGUGGUGUAGCGGUGAAAUGCAUAGAUAUCACGCAGAACUCCGAUUGCGAAGGCAGCGUACCGGCAUCCAACUGACGCUGAGGCACGAAAGCGUGGGGAUCAAACAGG
rnacentral:rRNA from 1 species